GAUGAACGCUGGCGGCGUGCCUAACACAUGCAAGUCGAGCGAACAGACGAGGAGCUUGCUCCUCUGACGUUAGCGGCGGACGGGUGAGUAACACGUGGAUAACCUACCUAUAAGACUGGGAUAACUUCGGGAAACCGGAUCUAAUACCGGAUAAUAUAUUGAACCGCAUGGUUCAAUAGUGAAAGACGGUUUUGCUGUCACUUAUAGAUGGAUCCGCGCCGCAUUAGCUAGUUGGUAAGGUAACGGCUUACCAAGGCAACGAUGCGUAGCCGACCUGAGAGGGUGAUCGGCCACACUGGAACUGAGACACGGUCCAGACUCCUACGGGAGGCAGCAGUAGGGAAUCUUCCGCAAAGGGCGAAAGCUUGACGGAGCAACGCCGCGUGAGUGAUGAAGGUCUUCGGAUCGUAAAACUCUGUUAUUAGGGAAGAACAAAUGUGUAAGUAACUAUGCACGUCUUGACGGUACCUAAUCAGAAAGCCACGGCUAACUACGUG
rnacentral:rRNA from 1 species